UACAGAGGGUGCUAGCGUUGUUCGGAAUCAUUGGGCGUAAAGGGCGUGUAGGCGGUUUGUUAAGUCAUGUGUGAAAUCCCUCGGCUCAACCGGGGAACGACGCAUGAAACUGGCAAGCUAGAGUACCAAAGAGGGGGGUGGAAUUCCCGGUGUAGCGGUGAAAUGCGUAGAUAUCAGGAAGAACACCCGUGGCUAAGGCGGCUCUCUAGUACGGUACUGACGCUGAGACGCGAAAAGCGUGGGGAGCGAACAGG
rnacentral:rRNA from 1 species